GUGCCUAACACAUGCAAGUCGAACGCGAAAGUCCCGCAAGGGAUAAGUAGAGUGGCAAACGGGUGAGUAACGCGUGGGUGACCUGCCUUCGAGCGGGGGAUAACGUUCCGAAAGGGACGCUAAUACCGCAUAACAUCCUGCCUUUUAAGAGGUGGAGAUCAAAGCCGGGGUCGCAAGACCCGGCACUUGAAGAGGGGCCCGCGUCUGAUUAGCUAGUUGGUGAGGUAACGGCUCACCAAGGCCUCGAUCAGUAUCCGGCCUGAGAGGGCGGACGGACACACUGGGACUGAGACACGGCCCAG
rnacentral:rRNA from 1 species